ACACUGAAGCAAGAAGUUCUAUUGCCUGGCAACAUGGCCUUGUGGGGAUCCGAUUUGGAUGGACAUGUCGUUGACACACUGUUCUGGGAGAAAGAUAGAUGGAUGGUAGUGUCCAGGCGUCGAGCCGAACACACCUGUCUGCCGUCUCUAAGGCUUUGUACCCUGUUACUUACCUCUUAAGAGGUUGAGCAGGUCUGUUGGUUCAUGGGAGGGUUACAGGAGGAUGUUCAAGUAGGUACUCCCUCCGUCCCAAAAUUCUUGUCUUAGAUUUGUCUAAAUACGGAUGUAUCAGUUGGAGGAGGUCUUAAGGCAACGUACAGGGUCUUUAAUCUGUGAUGUACCAGCGCCUCUCUCUCUCUGAGUUCUUCAAGUCUGGGCGCAUCUAUGGGCAUUCCUCUGCUAGCUUUGUUUCUUUGUCCCGGCAAUGGAGCCUGUGAGCUACGCUCGUCGCAUCACUUGGGAAGGCAUGGCCAGAUUGAGAAACACGUUGACAUUUUUACCGACCCCAAUAAGCAGCCAGAACAGUCAUCCCCAGUUGAGCAUAGAAAAGAAGAAUUGAACUUCCAGUCCAAGUGAAGCCAUGGCAUCAAAGCAACAAGUCUGCUGGUUGAAGGUCUCUGGAGGUUAGCCCUGCUGCAACCAAAGCCAUGAGUCAAGGCCAAGGGCAAACUAGCUAUGCUCCCAACUCCAGCAUUCAGGUAAACUAGCUAUGCUCCCAAGUCCGUUAUUCCGGAAUCUCCUGAAAUUUGGCUUCAGGGGACUGCCUUGUCAAGAAUUUGAUCGUAGU